UAGCGGUCUUCGCGAUGUCUUCGGGAGC
rnacentral:sRNA from 1 species